rnacentral:tRNA from 1 species
UUUGAUAAAGUGUAUACGCACAUGAAAAUUUGAUUUUUAAAGAGAUUAUUAAUCUAUCAAAU